rnacentral:rRNA from 1 species
UUGAACGCUGGCGGCAUGCUUUACACAUGCAGGUCGAACGGUAACAGGGAGCUUGCUCCGCUGACGAGUGGCGAACGGGUGAGUAAUGCAUCGGAACGUACCCAGUCGUGGGGGAUAACGUAGCGAAAGUUACGCUAAUACCGCAUACGUCCUGAGGGAGAAAGCGGGGGACCGUAAGGCCUCGCGCGAUUGGAGCGGCCGAUGUCGGAUUAGCUAGUUGGUGGGGUAAAGGCCUACCAAGGCGACGAUCCGUAGCGGGUCUGAGAGGACGACCAGCCACACUGGGACUGAGACACGGCCCAGACUCCUACGGGAGGCAGCAGUGGGGAAUUUUGGACAAUGGGCGCAAGCCUGAUCCAGCAAUGCCGCGUGCAGGAAGAAGGCCUUCGGGUUGUAAACUGCUUUUGUACGGAACACAAAGGUCUGGGUUAAUACCCUGGGCUCAUGACGGUACCGUAAGAAUAAGCACCGGCUAACUACGU